rnacentral:rRNA from 1 species
UACGAAGGGGGCUAGCGUUGCUCGGAAUCACUGGGCGUAAAGGGUGCGUAGGCGGCUUCUUAAGUCUGGUGUGAAAUCUCCCGGCUCAACUGGGAGGGUGCGCCGGAUACUGAGGGGCUAGAGUGUGGGAGAGGAAAGUGGAAUUCCUGGUGUAGCGGUGAAAUGCGUAGAUAUUAGGAAGAACACCGGUGGCGAAGGCGGCCCACUGGUCCGGUACUGACGCUGAGGUGCGAAAGCGUGGGGAGCAAACAGG